rnacentral:rRNA from 1 species
CCUACGGGAGACUGCAGUGGGGAAUAUUGCACAAUGGGGGAAACCCUGAUGCAGCGACGCCGCGUGCGUGAGGAAGUCUUUCUGUAUGUAAAGCUCUAUCAGCAGGGAAGAAAAUGACGGUACCUGACUAAGACGCCCCGGCUAACUCCGUGCCAGCAGCCGCGGUAAUACGUAGGGGGCAAGCGUUAUCCGGAUUUACUGGGUGUAAAGGGAGCGUAGACGGCUAAUCAAGUCAGAAGUGAAACCCCAGGGCUCAACUUUGGGACUGCUUUUGAAACUGAGUAGCUAGAGAGCAGGAGAGGUAAGCGGAAUUCAUAGUGUAGCGGUGAAAUGCGUAGAUAUUAGGAGGAACACCAGUGGCGAAGGCGGCUUACUGGACUGUAACUGACGUUGAGGCUCGAAAGCGUGGGGAGCAAACAGGAUUAGAUACCCCAGUAGUC